UUUAUCAAUUGUUAUUCAUUUCUGAUUUCUUUGAUUUGUGACAUUCAACACUGUGGUGGUUGAGUUAAUCGAUUUCCUUCCAAAUCAAAGAAUCUAAGCAGUAGUAUUACGAAGUCAGCAGUAGGGAAUAGAUAGGGUCAAUAUAACAUUUCUCACUUCCCAGAGUUGGGAGGGGAUGACUAGGUUCUUCUUCAGUGUUUUCACACACAUUAAUUACCAAUCCUAAUCCUUCUUAGAAGCUCAAAUGCUAAUGAUGUUAAUUCCUUCUUUGUUUGUGUGUUGUGAUGACUUCUCACUUUAUUCAAUCCUGGAUGUGGAACAAAUUGGAAGCUUAUAAAAAAAUGAGGUAUAAAUAUCUGAGCAUAUCCGGAACCUUAUGGAUAAUGGACAAGUGCAACAAGUUAACAGCUUAGGCAGAAAUUGGUGGGAAAUGGUCCAAGAUAGCGCAAAUACAGAGAUUUAAAUGUAUUGCAGAAGGAUGAUGUGGUCCAGAAUGUUUCUAUAGAAUAUUGAAAAACUUGGCAUAUAAAAAUAGACAAGAGUUGGUGAUUCUCCAUAGCAAAUAUGUACUGUGAUUAUGUAGACACAAAUAAAAUUUUGAUAGGUUGGAGAUGAACUCUUCAGCUUGGUGUCAGCAACAAGAUUACUACCUAGCCUCAAUUAGAGCUUAAUUUCAGGGGCAAAAAAAACAUGUGAUCUUCUCAAUCAGAUGGCCUUUAGGACUUCCUUGAUAAAGGGGAGCUUGUUGUCUUGAUGAUAAUGGAUUUGAGCACAAGUCCACAGAAGAUAUAUUCCGUUUAACAACUUAUUCUUUGUACGCCCAUGCAAGAAUCUGCUUUUAAGGUGAAGGUGAGACCCUUGCACAAUUCUACUGAACAAAGUUCUUUUGUUUCUACCUGAACUCUUACGUCAAUACUUGUUCAUCUUAGAAAUAUGUGGAAAUUUCCUAUAGGAAAAAAAAUUUCUGUGCAAGUAAACAUAAAAGCUUUCUUCCAACAGUACUGUCUAGAAGCAGUUUUCAGAUACCAAGAGAAAGUGCAUCUGCAGGUUUAAUUAGAAGUAAGUGACAUAACAUUAUCUUUCCUUUCAAAUUAUGAAAUCAGUCUCAAUUGGUUAACAAAUAGAUUAGAGUAAAUCCUAAUUCUUUUCCAUCCAAAGGAUAUUCUAUUGGUCAGACGACUUGCAUAUGGAGUUAAUCAAAUGAUUUCAUUUGACAUACUGGUGAGGAGCAUAGAUUAUAAUGUGGAGUUUUGUCUUAACUAAGCCAGGUGAGUCACAUUUUGUAGGUUACAUGAUAAAAGCCACCAAUAUCGUCUUUUAAAACUAUGCAUUUUCUGCAUCAAAAAUACGAGCAGGCUUGAGCUUUUGUGCAUUAGAGUGGCCAAAAAAGGAUGCAUUAGACAUAUAUAGGUCACAUGUUGGAGCAGAUGAUGCAACCAAUGGCUGAGUUCUGCAUUACUGGCCUGCUGGAAUUCUCAUUAGCUAUCAAUGGUCUUGCAAUUGUUUGCUUUACAAGAAGUGCAUAUUACCCAAGAGAGAAAUUAUGUCACUAAGAUAAGGUUGGAACUUCUGAAGUUAGUUUGAAAUCCAUGCACUAGUGACAAGGGGUAAUUAAGUUCACAAAGUGAUCAUGCUGCUGAUCUUUUUCCUACUGAGAGCGUCACCAAUAACAAUUGCCUAGCCCUGGUUUACAAGAACUGCAGAUUACCAAAGAGAGAAAGUAUAGCACUAAGAUAAGGUUGGAACUUUUGGAGUUAGUUUGGAAUCCAUGUACGAGUGACGGGGUAAUUAAGAUUACAAAAUGAUUCAUGCUGCUGAUCUUUUCCUACUGGAAGUGUCACCAACAACAAUUGCUUACCCCUGGUUUUAGCAAUUUCAUGAUAAACUGAACUUGCAAUCAAGGUUUCUUUUUUGGUUGGCUAUGGCAAAUCUAUGUUAUUGCUGUAAGGUCGAUCAUGAGUAUUUCAUAGGUUGCUUGUAUCUUUCUUAGUCAUUCAUAAUUUUAGGCAUUGGUGUAUUUUGGUGAAUCCAUCUAUAAGUACGUCAUUGUACUUGAAUUAUGGUGAGGAAAUUUAGGAAACUCUCCAUACAUGGAUGGAAUUUUGUGAUUCAAGUUUCCUGCAAGAGAUUUUUCUUGAGAUAGCAGAUUUUUAAAAUAUUGUUGAACCAAUUUCCUACUUGUCUUCGAAGUUUCAGUGUCUCCUUAUCAACAAAUGUUUUACUCAAAUUUUUUUGCUAUAGUGGGUAUGCAUAUAUUUGGGAAGCACAAUUCUAUACUUUGCACUACUGAAAUGAGAAAAGCAUAUCUGUCAAUUACUUAUGAUUUAUAGAUAGUGUAACUACUAUUAUCAUCAUGUAUAUACACCAUGGGGGCUUGACCUAAAUGAAACCAGCAUGUAGUUUGUUUGUA